rnacentral:rRNA from 1 species
UAAAGAUUUUAAGGGCGUACGGCGGAUGCCUUGGCGAUAUCAGCCGAAGAAGGACGCGGUAAGCUGCGAUAAGCUACGGAGAGGUGCAAGCAACCUUUGACCCGUAGAUUUCCGAAUGGGGGAACCCGGCAGUGGUUAUGCACUGUCACCCAUACCUUUGAGUAUGAGGAGGGCACCUGGGGAACUGAAACAUCUAAUUACCCAGAGGAAGAGUAAUCAAACGAGAUUUUCUUAGUAGCGGCGAGCGAACGGGAAAGAGGCCAAACCGGAGCGGGCAACCGCACCGGGGUUGAGGACAGUCAUCAAGUGUAAAUGAGGUAGAAGAAUCGAGUUGGAAAGCUCAGCCGCAGAAGGUGAAAGCCCUGUAAUCGAAACCUUGCAUACAUGGGACUGUAUCCAGAGUACCACGAGACACGUGAAACCUUGUGGGAAGCAGGGGGGACCACCCUCCAAGCCAAAAUACUGAUAUCGACCGAUAGCGCAUAGUACCGUGAGGGAAAGGUGAAAAGAACCCCUGGCGGGGAGUGAAAGAGAACCUGAAACCGUAUGUCUACAAACAGUCGAAGUCUGUAUAUAUAUCAGGACGACGGCGUGCCUAUUGAAGAAUGAACCGACGAGUUACUGUUGCUAGCGAGGUUAAGUGGAAAACAUGGAGCCGCAGCGAAAGCGAGUCUGAACAGGGCGUUCAGUUAGUGAUAGUAGACCCGAAACCGUAGUGAUCUAUCCAUGGCCAGGUUGAAGCACAGGUAAAAUUGUGUGGAGGACCGAACUCGUGAGCGUUGAAAAGCUUUGGGAUGAGUUGUGGAUAGGGGUGAAAUGCCAAUCGAACACGGAGAUAGCUGGUUCUCCCCGAAAUAGCUUUAGGGCUAGCCUCAAGGUGAGAGAUACGGAGGUAGAGCACUGAAUGUCCUAGGGGGUAUUGCACCUACCGAAGACUAUCAAACUCCGAAUGCCGUCAUCUUAUACUUGGGAGUCAGACUGUGGGUGAUAAGAUUCAUAGUCGAAAGGGCAACAGCCCAGAUCGUCAGCUAAGGUCCCUAAAUGUAAGUUAAGUGGUAAAGGAUGUGGGAUUGCACAGACAACCAGGAUGUUGGCUUAGAAGCAGCCACUCAUUCAAAGAGUGCGUAAUAGCUCACUGGUCGAGUGAUCCUGCGCCGAAGAUUUCCGGGGCUAAAACUUACUACCGAAGCUACGGCAUCAGUAAUGAUGGGUAGGGGAGCUUCCCAUACGGGUUGAAGCAUGACCGUAAGGACAUGUGGACAGUAUGGGAGUGAGAAUGUUGGCAUGAGUAGCGAGAUGUGGGUGAGAAUCCCACAGGCCGUAAACCCAAGGUUUCCAGGGGAAGGUUCGUCCGCCCUGGGUUAGUCGGGACCUAAGCUGAGGCCGAAAGGCGUAGGUGAUGGACAACAGGUUGAUAUUCCUGUACUACCGAUAACCGUUUGAGAGAAGGGAUGACACAGUAGGAUAAGCUAAGCACACUGUUGGUUAUGUGUGCCCAAGCAUUGAGGCAGUCAAAGUAGGCAAAUCCGCUUUGAUAAUGCUGGGAUGUGAUGGGGAGCGAAAUUUAGUAGCGAAGUAGCUGAUUUCACACUGUCAAGAAAAGUCUCUAUCGAGGUUAAAGGUACCCGUACCGCAAACCGACACAGGUGGGUGAGGAGAGUAUCCUAAGGCCAGCGAGAGAACUGUUGUUAAGGAACUCGGCAAAAUGACCCCGUAACUUAGGGAUAAGGGGUGCCACCAUCAGGUGGCCGCAGAGAAUAGGCCCAAGCGACUGUUUACCAAAAACAUAGGUUUCUGCUAAGUCGCAAGACGAUGUAUAGGAGCUGACGCCUGCCCGGUGCUGGAAGGUUAAGGGGAUCUGUUAGAGCAAUCGAAGCAGUGAACUUAAGCCCCAGUAAACGGCGGCCGUAACUAUAACGGUCCUAAGGUAGCGAAAUUCCUUGUCGGGUAAGUUCCGACCCGCACGAAAGGCGUAACGAUUUGGGCACUGUCUCAACAACAGACUCGGUGAAAUUGUAAUUCCGGUGAAGAUGCCGGAUACCUGCGACAGGACGGAAAGACCCCAUGGAGCUUUACUGUAGCUUGACAUUGGGUCUUGGUACUACAUGUACAGGAUAGGUGGGAGGCUUUGAAACCAGGACGCCAGUUUUGGCGGAGCCAUCCUUGGGAUACCACCCUUGUAGUACUGGGACUCUAACCAUAGGCCAUGAAUCUGGUCUUGGGACACUGUCAGGUGGGCAGUUUGACUGGGGCGGUCGCCUCCCAAAAGGUAACGGAGGCGCUCAAAGGUUCUCUCAGUACGGUCGGAAAUCGUACGUAGAGUGUAAAGGCAAAAGAGAGCUUGAUUGCAAGACAUACAGGUCGAGCAAGGAUGAAAAUCGGACUUAGUGAUCCGGUGGUUCUGCGUGGAAGGGCCAUCGCUCAACGGAUAAAAGCUACCCUGGGGAUAACAGGCUUAUCUCCCCCAAGAGUCCACAUCGACGGGGAGGUUUGGCACCUCGAUGUCGGCUCAUCACAUCCUGGGGCUGUAGUAGGUCCCAAGGGUUGGGCUGUUCGCCCAUUAAAGUGGUACGCGAGCUGGGUUCAGAACGUCGUGAGACAGUUCGGUCCCUAUCCGUCGCAGGCGUAGGAAAUUUGAGAAGACCUGUCCUUAGUACGAGAGGACCGGGAUGGACGUACCUCUGGUGUACCAGUUGUCCUGCCAAGGGCAUGGCUGGGUAGCUAUGUACGGAAUGGAUAAGCGCUGAAAGCAUCUAAGCGCGAAGCCAACUUCAAGAUAAGAUUUCCCACCGCAAGGGUAAGACCCCAGAAAGACUAUCUGGUUGAUAGGUCGAAGGUGUAAGUGCAGCAAUGUAUUUAGCUUAUCGAUACUAAUAGGUCGAGGACUUGACCAA